AGUGAACGCUGGCGGUAGGCCUAACACAUGCAAGUCGAACGGCAGCACAGUAAGAGCUUGCUCUUACGGGUGGCGAGUGGCGGACGGGUGAGGAAUACAUCGGAAUCUACUUUUUCGUGGGGGAUAACGUAGGGAAACUUACGCUAAUACCGCAUACGACCUACGGGUGAAAGCAGGGGAUCUUCGGAUCUUGCGCGAUUGAAUGAGCCGAUGUCGGAUUAGCUAGUUGGCGGGGUAAAGGCCCACCAAGGCGACGAUUCGUAGCUGGUCUGAGAGGAUGAUCAGCCACACUGGAACUGAGACACGGUCCAGACUCCUACGGGAGGCAGCAGUGGGGAAUAUUGGACAAUGGGCGCAAGCCUGAUCCAGCCAUACCGCGUGGGUGAAGAAGGCCUUCGGGUUGUAAAGCCCUUUUGUUGGGAAAGAAAAGCAGCAGGUUAAUACCCCGCUGUUCUGACGGUACCCAAAGAAUAAGCACCGGCUAACUUCGUG
rnacentral:rRNA from 1 species